rnacentral:rRNA from 1 species
GACGAACGCUGGCGGCGUGCCUAAUACAUGCAAGUAGAACGCUGAAGCUUGGUGCUUGCACCGAGCGGAUGAGUUGCGAACGGGUGAGUAACGCGUAGGUAACCUGCCUGGUAGCGGGGGAUAACUAUUGGAAACGAUAGCUAAUACCGCAUAACAGUAGAUAUCGCAUGAUAUGUGCUUGAAAGGUGCAAUUGCACCACUACCAGAUGGACCUGCGUUGUAUUAGCUAGUUGGUGAGGUAACGGCUCACCAAGGCAACGAUACAUAGCCGACCUGAGAGGGUGAUCGGCCACACUGGGACUGAGACACGGCCCAGACUCCUACGGGAGGCAGCAGUAGGGAAUCUUCGGCAAUGGACGGAAGUCUGACCGAGCAACGCCGCGUGAGUGAAGAAGGUUUUCGGAUCGUAAAGCUCUGUUGUAAGAGAAGAACGAGUGUGAGAGUGGAAAGUUCACACUGUGACGGUAUCUUACCAGAAAGGGACGGCUAACUACGUGCCAGCAGCCGCGGUAAUACGUAGGUCCCGAGCGUUGUCCGGAUUUAUUGGGCGUAAAGCGAGCGCAGGCGGUUAGAUAAGUCUGAAGUUAAAGGCUGUGGCUUAACCAUAGUACGCUUUGGAAACUGUUUAACUUGAGUGCAAGAGGGGAGAGUGGAAUUCCAUGUGUAGCGGUGAAAUGCGUAGAUAUAUGGAGGAACACCGGUGGCGAAAGCGGCUCUCUGGCUUGUAACUGACGCUGAGGCUCGAAAGCGUGGGGAGCAAACAGG